ensembl:lncRNA
AGCUAUUUGUGCAUUGGCAGUGAUACAACGUCAGUUAUUUGCAGGCUGGCGGCUAUACUCUGACCUGGAGACCUGGCUAACAAAGUCCAUGCUGCAAGCAGUCAUCUGUAAGAUGCGAUGGAGGACAAGCAAAGCUGCCUUUAGCUGUUGUCCUGCCUGAAGGAGGAAAGAAGGCCAUUGCAACAUGCCAAAGAGAGGAACGGAAUCGUCCUCCUCUGCCUGUGGGGCAGCAAGGAAGUUUCAGGAUAAUUGAUUGCUGCUCUUUUGCAAGUGGCACGAAGUGUGAGCGGCCGUGAGCCACAGUGAAGCAGAUGGAUGGGGCUGGAGGAAGCCGUGGACAGGACCUAUGGGCACUGUAUUUGACUGUGCAUCCGUAUGGGGUCCCACUGCUCCAGGUGGCCUGGGGGUGUCCCUUCAUUAGCACUACUUCUAAUCAGCAGUGAGCACCCAGCAGGCAAACUGUGUGGAAAAGGAGGAAAAGAGGAAACUGCAGGAAAGCCAAUGAGGAGGUCCCCUGCUGCGCUGAAGCAACUCCCUUGUUCUUUCCAAAGUAGGCUGCAUAAAUAUUGAUCUUGCUGGGAUGUGUCCUACAUUCAUUUGCACAGACGUUACAAAUGUGCUUAAGAAUGAGAAAUCAAUCUUGUUUUCCUGUGUGGUAAACACGGGCAGCCAAGGAUGCGCAUAGAUAAAGUGAAUUACAGCCCUCAGCCCUGCCACUUGUACGCUGGGUUGGAAAAGGUGUUCUUGGGUAACAGAAGAGAAAAAGAUGUUCUUACCUACUGGACUAUUUUAAGGUAUUUUCACAAAUCCCUCCACAGACCCUUUAAAAUGCCUUCAACUCCCGUUUUGGUUCUUGUAAUAAUCUGUAAGUUAAAUAGUUUUCUGCUGAAUUUGCUUGGGUUGCUUUUUCACAACCUACUGCCAGCAAGUCAAGGUACACUCUUGGACAUUCGUAUCACUUCAUCACUCCCUCUCCCAUUAACCUCUCAUAUGGUUUAGCAUUGCAACACUGUAAUUUGGAAAAUCAUAUCAUUAGGUUGCAAAAGCUGUAGGAUUCUUGCAGUCGACAGCCACGGGGUGGCUUCUGAGUCACUGGAUGAUUAAUAAUUAAUGAUAAUUGUUGGAUAAUCUAUUUAGACAGUCACAGCGUAGGGAAUUUAUUACUGUUUUCUCUGGUGAAUACUGCCACUAAAGUAAUAAAACUUUAAUGUGUCCCCUCUCCUUGUCGUUCUACCGAAUUCCUGUUAAGAAAUAGCAGAAAGCUGCCACAUCUUGCUAUAGAUGGCAAUGCGGUACAAUGGCAGCUCCUGCUUUCUUACCAACCGACGUGUACGUGUGUUUGUAAAGCAGGGGACAGGAGAGAGAUGUAUUUCUACGGUCAGGUAGAUUUUAAAAGAAAAUGAUUCAGUUCUCUUGAAGUGUUUGCUUUACCUUGCUUGGCUUAGCAUUUGGACGAUUUCUGUAUUAUUUGCUCGGCUCAUUAUUCCCAGUUAUUUUCAACUUCAUUUCCGCUAAAUUACAUGUGCUCCUCAGAAAGUGUUUAAAGUGUUUAUGUUAUACAAAUAACAAAUGCACAGUUCUCUUUCACGAAGUGAUGCAGGAAAGAAUGGUGACCAUGGAAUGCUUAUAAAGUUGGCAAAGGCGGGAAGUCAAACUGAGUCAAGUGAUCCCCAUUCCUUAAAAUGGCCCACCACCCCAACAGACCUCAGUCCAGACCAACAGUGGACCUCAGAAUGGAAUAACUGCUGUGCUGCAUUUCCCAGCUGUGACUCAGGCGCUGUGGGAUGUGUCGCGUUGCUUCCCGACACGCAGAGAUGCUCACCUUUCCCGUGAGGAUGCUGCACGUAGACUUUUCCUGCUUUGCGGAAGCGUAGUUGUAUCUGAACGCUGACUUAUUUCUUUGUGACUAAUGAGCCUGCAUGAAAGCAUUGGAUAGUCUCGAAUGGGCAGGUGUAUUAUACUCCGUGUUAAGAAAUUUGUUUUGUUCAGCUGUAUGUCAAACGUGAUUUGUAGCUGGGCUGUGGAAUCAAUCCAAAAAUAUAAAUUUGCUUACCAAAGGUUGCUGUCAAGCUCUACCGUGCUGAAGCUCCAGCUUACAGAAGGCAGCGUCUUCCAACAAAAGGGUUUCAGCCAAAUAAAUGGAGCUUAGAGAAAAUGCAAUGUUACAGCUGAAGUACCGGGAUAAUUGAGCCUGUAACAUCUGCUGAAAUGUAGUGACACCAAAAAUAAACACUUCUGCCCAUGUUGCUAUUCCCUGGUACAGCAGUGUAUAAACAUGUGAUGCGACCCCAGCACAUCAGGGAAUGUGGGAACAGACUGGUGUUGCCAUCAUAAGUACCCUUCCCCUGUCAAGGAAGGAGCUUUCUGAGCACAGCUGUAAUAAGGACAUUGCUUGGGUUGCUUUCCAGCAGCUUUUAUGAGAAGGGAAAAGGGAUCAUGUGCUUAAUUAGCCCCUUUAGUAAGAGGUGUUCUUGUGUAUGUUUUGCAGCUGGAACAAAGGGCCAGGGUGAGGGUGUUUGCUUGAUUUUUCCCUUAAAGAGAGAAAAUGUAUGAAAUCGUUCCUGGAUGGAAAAUAGGGGAAAAAAAAAUAGCAAAAAUCUUUUGUCUGUUAU